CCUACGGGUGGCAGCAGUGAGGAAUAUUGGUCAAUGGCCGGAAGGCUGAACCAGCCAAGCCGCGUGAAGGACGAAGGUGCCAAGCAUUGUAAACUUCUUUUGUCAAGGGACAAAAUCAGGCUCGAGAGCCUGACCGAGGGUACUUUAAGAAAAAGCAUCGGCUAACUCCGUGCCAGCAGCCGCGGUAAUACGGAGGAUGCGAGCGUUAUCCGGAUUUAUUGGGUUUAAAGGGUGCGUAGGCGGGCUGUUAAUUCAGCGGUAAAAGCCCGGGGCUCAACCCCGGCGAGCCGUUGAAACUGGCGGUCUUGAGAUGUCGAGAGGUAUGCGGAAUGCGCAGUGUAGCGGUGAAAUGCUUAGAUAUUGCGCAGAACUCCGAUUGCGAAGGCAGCAUACCGGCGGCGAUCUGACGCUGAGGCACGAAAGCGUGGGUAUCGAACAGGAUUAGAUACCCGGGGAGUC
rnacentral:rRNA from 1 species